AAUCCAGGACCAUCAAACAUGUCAAAACCAGGACCAUCAAACAUGUCAAAACCAGGACCAUCAAACAUGUCAAAACCAGGACCAUCAAAUGCAAGAAAAGAAAGACUUAAAAAGUUAUAUGAAAGGUCAACCACUGGAAGAGGAAAGGGGAGAGGAAAAGGAAGAGCUAAAGGAAGAGGUCAUGGUAUGAAGAGAAAGAGGGAGAGCAGUUCUGACUCCAGUGACAGUGAAGAAGAAAUAAG